GUGAAUCAUCAAAUUUUUGAACGCAAAUUGCACUCUCUGGCAUUCCUGAGAGUAUGCCUGUUUGAGGGUCAGUUUAAAUAAAAAUCGAGGUGUUGGUGUCUUUUGACCCAUCGGAAUUGGGUUAUCUUUGACCUUUUAACAAGUAUAUGUGACAUAAUAUUGAUACCUCGUGCACCUCAGACGUAUAUAAGAUUAUCUUUUUAUCCGUCCGG
rnacentral:misc_RNA from 1 species